UAAAACCUGUUGUCAUCAUUGGAAAAAACAAAGAGAAUUAUAAGGUUUCAUGUUAGUAUUACAGGCAGUUAAAUUUUGCUGCUAUGGGUUUUAAUUUUGUAUUGACAAAUAUUGUCAUCUCUCACACUUCCUUUGAAAAAAACGAGACAUCAAUAUGUGCCAAUACAAGUAUGACGCUAGUCGAAACCUUUUACCUUCAAGCUGCAAAUGUGCAGAAACAAACGAAUGUUGUUGGUUUUAAUCGGAGUUCUUUUUAAAUCCAAUUUUUUGCAUGAAAAUGAACUCGCCAAUCGAGUAUGUGGUAUUGAACAUGUUAAAUAGGUAUUUUACAUAUAAGUACAAUUUUCAUAGAUCUAAUAUUUAUGAUAUUGUUACAGUACCUGGCAGAAGGAUGACACGUGAAGAAUAUUUAGAAAAGAAACGUCUAGCGGCGAGAAUACGAUAUCAAAGAAUAAAAAAUGAUCCACUAAUGUACCAAAUGCAAAAAGAAAAAGAUAAAUUAAAAUAUUUAAGAAAGAAAGAAAUCGGUGGUAUAAAAACGGUGGCCGAAAUGACACCCGAAGAGCGGGCAAUUGCACGAAAAAAAUGGCGGAAAAAGGCAAAGGAACGUAGGGAACGUCGUGCCUAUGAAUAAGGAAAGAAAUAGAUAAAAGAAGCUUUUGCUUCAUAAUAGCUAUACAACCAAUGUAUAAAAUUUUAAAUUAUUGGAGGUGAUGGGUGACAUUUACUCGCAGUGAGAAAAUGAAGUGUCGAGCGAGAACUGGGAAUCCAGUUACGAUCACAAUCGUAGCCGCGGGAGCCUUUAAUUCCAGUAAAAUGGAUGCAUCACAAUUUGUGUUAUGUUUAUUUUGGAAUAACUUGAAUGUUUAUUUGAAACUAUGGUGAAACUUGUCCUAGAUUUUACUAUGUAUUGUGACAAUUGAAAUUAAAUACAUAUUUUUU